CCUACGGGGGGCAGCAGUAGGGAAUUUUCGGCAAUGGGGGAAACCCUGACCGAGCAACGCCGCGUGAGUGAAGAAGGCCUUCGGGUUGUAAAGCUCUGUUGUAAGGGAAGAAGAGAUCAUAGAGGGAAUGCUAUGAUUGUGACGGUACCUUACCAGAAAGCCACGGCUAACUACGUGCCAGCAACCGCGGUAAUACGUAGGUGGCGAGCGUUAUCCGGAAUUAUUGGGCGUAAAGGGUGCGUAGGCGGCACAUUAAGUCUAAGGUUAAAGUUCGAGGCUCAACUUCGGAUUGCCUUAGAAACUGGUGAGCUAGAGUGCAGGAGAGGGCAAUGGAAUUCCAUGUGUAGCGGUAAAAUGCGUAGAUAUAUGGAGGAACACCAGUGGCGAAGGCGGUUGCCUGGCCUGUAACUGACGCUGAGGCACGAAAGCGUGGGGAGCAAAUAGGAUUAGAUACCCUAGUAGUCU
rnacentral:rRNA from 1 species